GACAUCGCAGGGAGGGCUGAGAGCCCAGGCCCCGCUCCACACAGCCCCAUACCAUCUGCUGCCUCUCCGGAGCACGCAGUCGACUCGCUCGUUUCUGCAGCCUUGAACUUAGCUGUGGACAUGAGCAGGAGAGGUGUCCGGUCCUGCCGUGCACGGGUGAAGCUGCAGAGGAGCUCAGCGUGGCUGUGCCACAGGGGCUGUUGGCACACAUGCUCAGUUCGGCACCCCUGCCAAGCACAGCCCAGGACCAGACGGCGCCACGUGCCAAAAGUACAGCCCCGGUGCCUCAGCAAGGACCUGCUCCCCAUGCUCGUGGGGGCAAGCAUGCCAGCUUUCCUGGGCAGAGGCAGAAGGCCAGGGCCAGCACGGCCACCAACAGCAAGGGGCCCACAACAGCAGCCUCUGAAGGAGGAGCGGGAGGAAGCGGCAGGGACCAGAGUCCGGGCAGCGCUGCAGGAAGAGCAAGGCGGAUCCACAGAGGAGGAAGCGAGGCAGCAGGAUGCUGACAAAGACCUGCCAGAAGAGCAGCAGCUGGAGGAAUCUGCCUCUAUCCGUGYGAUCUGGGUCCGACCGAGCCUCCAGAGCCUAAUGGCUCAGAUGCACAUGCGCCACAAUGAGGACGUGCCUUGCUCGCUCGACAGCGAGGCCACAGACGCUGACAGAGAGGCAGCCGGCAACCCGCAGUGCGCGCCUCUGCCCCAAGCAGUGGCCACAGGAGCUGAGGCAGAAGAUUCACCCUUGGCCGGAGGCUCUCGGCAAGAGGAGACCAGCGCGCCUCUCCCCACGUCAGGCUCCCCAGAAGCAAAGCCAGCAGCUUCUCCCUUGGCUGGAGGCCCUCCGCACCGGUUUCCCUCUGAGCACAAAGUGGAUGCAAAUUCMUCCUCCUCCUCCUCCUCCUCCAGAGUCACGCCUGAGGGUGACCCAGGUAUGUAUGCGAGUCAAGAGCCAUUCUGUGGGCAGAAGGCCCAGCCUGGCCCAGCAAGGGGCACUGAGGCCGGCUGCACUAAGCCACAACGUCUUGGGAAAGCCCUUGGUGGCAGGGGGCAGCAGGUGCUUGUCCUGCGCUCGCACAGCCCCUCACCCACGGCUCUCCUUCCUCCCACAGCCAUCGCUGCUCUUCCGGACCCACCGGCUCCCAGGCAACGACCCUCGCUCCUCACGACACUGCUUCGGGCUCUGCGCAGAGCUUUUUCCUGCAGUUGUCUCAUGGGGCAGCGAGAGGGACGGGGCCGGGACACAAGUGCCAGGCGCUUCCCCUGACAUCGCCGCUGGCCCUGUCGAUGUGGAGCACAAGGAGGGAGAGCAACACAGAUGCACGUGAUCAUGCCGC
rnacentral:lncRNA from 1 species